rnacentral:misc_RNA from 1 species
AAGUCGUAACAAGGUUUCCGUAGGUGAACCUGCGGAAGGAUCAUUAAUGAUAUGGCGAACCGAGCGUUAGCGAGGUUUCGCGAUCAAACUUGUAUUUAAAACCCACACUUUUGAAUGUAUAUUUUUAUAUUUUUGUAUGAUAAAUAAAAGAUCACUUUCAACAACGGAUCUCUUGGCUCUC